UACGUAGGGGGCAAGCGUUGUCCGGAUUUAUUGGGCGUAAAGAGCGUGUAGGCGGCUUUGCAAGUCCGUUGUGAAAACUCGAGGCUCAACCUCGAGACGCCGGUGGAAACUGCAAAGCUAGAGUCCGGAAGAGGAGAGUGGAAUUCCUGGUGUAGCGGUGAAAUGCGCAGAUAUCAGGAGGAACACCGGUGGCGAAGGCGGGAUCCUGGGCCAGUACUGACGCUGAGGAGCGAAAGCGUGGGGAGCAAACAGG
rnacentral:rRNA from 1 species